GGGUCCUCCGUUGCUCAAGGGAACGUUUCUUGUUGCCAUCACGUUCACCAUCUGAAUUGUCAUCAACACCAUGCCAGCCUAGCAAGAUGAGGCCGUUCAACGGUGGGUCUUCGUCCAACUCAUCUCCUUCCCAUCCGCUUCCAACUACAAGCACGGCUGCAACUUGCACAAAAACCAGGUUAGUUAUUGACAGUAUUCUAUAAAUUUUUUCUUUCACAUGACAGCAACAUGUUUAAUACAGAUAUGAUAGUAGUAAGAGACCUCUUAUCCACCCGAUCCACCGGAUGCAUGUGUUAGAGGAAGCUAGAUAAUCAGUUGUAUUAUUUAAUCCCACUAAAUCUGAUCCAUCAUCACUUUGAUCAACUUCUUCCAUGUAGUCGAUUGGCACUUGUGAUGCCACGGCAAGGAACUCUUCAUCCAAGUCUGAAACACACACAAUCUUGGUGAACAUCUUGCGAACUAUUUUAUUACACAUACAUUAUUUAAACAUCAUACCCGUUGAUUCAUCUUCAUCUAUCAUGUAAUCAGUAGGCACCCCUGGUGGUACAUCUGAUGACUCGUCGUCUGCAUCUGCACAACCAGGUCAGAAAUUUACUCGGACGGAAUCAAAAUGUUAAUUGCCUUUCGUACAAAUACAAUACAUGAGCUUAGCAAACAAUUACCGUCCUCAUCAAACAUUGGCAGUAGAUUCCUUCCGUCUAUGUUGUUCACAUUCUCACAAAACGGACUGCGACUUGCCGCUGCCUGCUCACUUGCAUUCACAAGCGCUAUUAGGUUGUUGUCAUCUACAAUCACCUCCCCCAAAGUUGGAACACCAUUAUGCUGACGGUGCUCCUGGCUGCUAUGUUCCAGCUCUUCCCAGUUUAUGCGAUCAUCAUCAGCUAUCUGUGCCGUGUUGCCCCCAUUCCCAUCAACCUCGGUCCGAUGAUCUGCACGAUUGAGGAUUUAAAUGCCAAUUUCUAGUUUUUAGCUAGCAUCCCAAAAUAAAUUCGUAAAGUUCAACUGCAUCAUUUUUUUAAAAUAAAUAACCUUCUUUGUACCCAUCCACCCCUAGGUUUGAGAGCAUCAUCCGAGCCUGCUCAAAGAUGCCUGCGUGCAUGCAAGCAACGUGCUUCAUAUUAUGUCAUCCUUCACCCAUGAACUUAACAAGAACGUUAUGUACCUUCAAAAAGUUCUGGAUUGCCAAUUGCUUGUUCUACCACAGCUAGUGCAGCGGCAGAUAAGCUCCGCACACGCUCCCUCCUUUCUGUGACUGAUUGCCCGUCAGCAUGCACAUCAACUGCGGCAGAUGAUGAUCCUCUACGAGAUGGUAGAAUUCCAUGAGUUGCACCGUCUGUCCAAAACAGCGAAACACAAAUUAUAGGCCGAAAUGCAUUACUGCCGUUUGGUUCAUACUUGCAUUUUCAACUUAGUACAUUCAUAAAGUUUCUGUACUCACAUUCAAGGGUUUCUUUCUCUUGAGCCUCGAGUUCUUGUAGCUCGGCUCUGAGGUAGUCCCCCCCUGCUACGAAGCAUUGCAGCACUACACGAGGUCUGAGCGGAGUCUCGUGCCAUGGUUGACAAUGUGUCACCACCGUUGCUAAUCCUAGGCUGUAGCCGUUGCCUGAGCCGGUUCAUGCUACGUGGUGCUGUAAUGUUUCCAAUCAUAUCAUCAGGCUAAAAAAAUUUGACAGUAUAUCUGUCGAAAAAAUGGAAUGUCCGCUAACAUUGUUUGUGUCCACGCACACUUAUAUUUACUUACCUGUAACGCGGGAUCGGCCUACAUCAUCUCCAAUUGUAAUCCCAGUGGGCGCGUUCUGUACUAGGGUGUGUCUUCCUGCAAAAUUUUUUGAGCAAUUUAGUACCGACACAUUACGGACAUCCUUCUCGCUUUGUAUGCUGCUAAUGUAAAUACAACUUCUACAAACCUCUCCUAUCAGCCUUCAUCAAAUUAAGGCCUAGCCGAACACUUGGGUCCAUCGGUUCAUAAUCGCUAUCGCUGUCUGAUGUGUCUGAACUUUCUUCUGCUAUACCUUUUCCUUUGGCAUCAACUUCUCUCGCUGUAGACCUCCGCACUGAAUUUUGGUUUCGCCGUUCUGCUGCUUGCAUUUGUCCACUCAUAUUGAUGGGCUGUUCGUAGCGCGUUGCUCUGCUGUCGCAGCCCUCAAGCUGAUGUGCUGCUCGCAGCGCCUCCAGUUGCUCUGUUUGCAUCAAAAAGACAGUAAAUAGUUUGUGAGCAAGUUUAUUUCACGAACCAAUAUUUUUUUUCUACAACGCAAUACUCAUGUUGCUGCCUCUAUUACCUGGAUGUCGCAGGAAUCCUCCAGGCCCCCCAACCACGGCAUGCCAGACAUUGUUAACCUGGUCAAAUGCAUCAGCAUGCCUUGUCUGCCGGAUAAAAACACCCCAAGUUAGAGUGAAUAUCAGUCUCCACGAUCGCGAACUCGUUUUUCAAAGCUUUUUACAUUGUUACUAUGUGCUACUUAAGUGCAAAACUACAAAAACCUCUUACAGUGAAUAUAGUUGGGUACUCUCUUGUAAGGUAGAUUAGCCUCCUGAACAUCGGCCUUGUGUAAACGCUGAUGCGGGGGAGGGUGUACGGCUCUACACUAUCUGGCCCGAAAUCCAUCCAGUCGAAGAACCAUGGCUGCAAACAAUCAAGGGGGAACAAUUAGUUACAUACCUAUCAAAUGCAACACGCUAGAUGGUUCAUGUUAAGACAAGGCAUGUUUUUUGGUCACACUUACAAUGAGAGCCAAAUGGCACCCGCCUACGAUUAGAGUUCUGACCCCAGCUGCUAGAUCUCUGUGUAGUUUUUUGACAGCUGCUCUGAUGAUCUCAAAUACCCAAUCUGCUAGAUCGAACUUGCCAGUACCGCGAUGGCACAUGACACACGCUAGCAACUCCCAAUUGAUCGACGUGUACGACUGUCCGGGGCCUACAUAUGUACCUCCGGCUAAUAGCGAGAACGCAAUCUCGAAAGCCCUUAUUUGACGUGGGUACACACCAGUGCUCAUAAUACUACUUAUAGCAUCAGCAACUGCACGAAUAGUCAAUCCCCCAUCCCUGGCAUGGCUCCUUGUCUCUAUUCCAAGAAUUGUUCUGAUUCUUAGAGCUAAACUCUGCCUUUCUUUUGCUUUUAAUUUAACCAAACUCACUUUAGGGCCACUGUUUCUCAGAUCCAAUGUUCUGACGAUGGAACUGGGGGUGAAGUAUCUAAUCUGGCCGUCAGGGAAGGUGAAGCUCAUGUCUUCCCACCUAAAUCUACCAAGUAGCCAGGCGUAGAACCUCCUGUCGGCCUCACCAUCAAAUGCAGUGGUUAACAAGCUUGCCAUGCCAGUCCUAUGAACUACUCUGUAGUACCUCAUACCUAAGCGCUGGAUCUGAUGGCAGUUCCAGGUACAUUUAACCACCCUACCACGCAGCAAGUGACUUUCUGCAGAAAGGACCGGAGGCACUACUGGAAUCACUUCCCCACCAGCGGCCGUAUCUCCGGGCACAAGAACGAGCGUACGCCUACGCCGAGAUCUGCGCAUGUACAGACCCUCUAUCGUGUUGUCACUGACCAGACCCCGUCUCAGUUUCCGUCCAGCAGGGCCGACCAUCUCCGCUCCCUCGUCCGCCGCAUCCUGUAUUAAAAAUUUGACCCAGCCUCACAAGUCAGCCCUCCUUUUCUAUGUGAAUCAAUGAAAGUCAAAUGAUAAAUAUUAGGAAAAGAUGGAGCAACCGGAUGGCAACGCAGCUGUACGCCCAAACCCUUUUCUAUGUACUCCCUCUGUAAACUAAUAUAAGAGCAUUUAGAUCACUAGUUUAGUAUUCUAAACGCUCUUAUAUUAGUUUACGGAGGGAGUACCAAAAUAGCUUACAGAUGCAUUGGGGGCGGUGAGUGGAGAGCCGUCGCCACCAGCGACGUCGCCAUCGAUGGAUCCUUCCUUUGGCCCACUGGAUCGUGGCUUUUUCUUCUGUCCAUCACCACCACCUUGUCCACAUGGCAGAUUCCUUUUUCGUGGUGGAUCCGGUGGUUCCAUGCUCACUAACCUAGAAAGGCAAUCAUGGAUGGGGGUUAGAAAAAGACACUACCAACCAGCAGAAAUCCACUCGCAAAGCCGAGGUGAUGGAGAUCAAAAAAGCAAGCCAGAAAAGCAGCGCCUCCACCUAUUGCAUUGACAUAUGGAGAAACCUAACCUCUUGUUGCGUUGGUGCCGGCGCAGAUGAACCAGUCGCCGUCUUCAACACCCGGACUCCACAUCUGGUUUGCCUUGAAUAGUGUCUACGAGAUGUGGUGGGGAUAGAGUUGUGGUGGAGAGGACGGAGAGUGGCUACACGUACAUAUGAUCCCAUCGUGAAAUAUCACCUCUCACGGAGAGCAGAUGCGCACUUUUUUUAGUUACACAUCUCCUUAUUAGCGUGGCCCAUCUGAGGCCACAUAAUAAAUUCGCUAGCCGGGGCACAGGAGAUGCAGCCGUGUACUUGGCUCCGCACGGACAGACGCUUGCUAUCUGAACUGCUUCUGGUCGGAACAGUACAAUCACUGGUCGACGCGGUCCAUGCCAAAAGGAGAGAAUAAUGGGUAGUGCCGGGCUGCCUCACCUGCAUGUCUGGGUGGGCACGGCAUGCAUGCGCACCACCACCAACCCCCCAUUUAAUAUGCUUGCCCGUUUUUGGCUUUCUUGAUGCUCCGGCUGCCUAAUCCAGUAGUUACUAAACACUCCCCUCAAAAGACCUACUCAUCUUAUUGCCACGUCAUGCAUGAAUACUCAAUCGGUUGCAUAAUCCAUAGUACACUCAUGUUUUAAAUUCAUUUUUUCGUAUAAUUUAUAUUUUCGACAUUCUGCAAUUUUAUUGAAUCGAAAUAACUUGUUUGGAAAAAAAAAGGAAAAUACUGAUUUUUUGCGACCCGGAGAAAUAGCACGCUCCUGAAAGUGACCACGCAUUUUCAUUAUUGCAACACAAACCAUUGGAAAUUGACACUGUACAGUGGAUGAUUCAUAAAUCUACUAACCGAAACCCAGUACUUAGAUCGAACCGCUGCUAGAUCUACUCUACGUGCGGCGUCUCUUACUCAACCGGCUGCUAGUUCCAUCCUCAUCGAAAGAAUCUUCCCCCUCCUCCGCGCCCCGGAUUUCAGGUUCGUCGUUUAUGACCGAACCUCCAUUGCUGUUCGUCGAGUCGCCAGCUUCAAAUAGAUCGUAAUCGCCGAAUCCUUCCUCCAUUGAUUCUUCUUUGUCCUGCGCCCCUUCUACUUGGGUCAGCGACAAAGACAUGCGCAUAUCCCCUUGGACGACAUCGCCCUACCAAUAGAGAUUGAAGGCACCCGAAUUUACAUUUUAUCUUGACUGCACUCUUAUGUGUUGUUCAGAGCAGCGCAACUCACCUCCCCAUUGUCGUCGUCAUCUUCGCCCGCCAUAGCCGUGGUGCUCCACGCGCUAGCUGCUGAAUUAUCAAGGGAAGGAGACGGCGGCUGCAGUACCUGAAAACACAUUCAGAAACCAAGCGGUCAAGAUUUUAUCCUUACAACGGAUCGGAGACGAGCCAGGAACGCACUGCUGGGUUGGAACACUUACCAGACCAGGCAACGUCAGUGAGGCAUCGCCAUCUUCACCUCUCGUCGUCCCACUAGCCCCUGAUUCAGCAAGAGAGAGGCCCAUCGGAUGCAGGGAAGUGUUUUUUUUUUCAAAUCAAACUGAGCUAGUAGUGCAAGGAGUAGGCGAAGGAAAGCAGCUCGCCCGUCGCCCCUGUUUUUAUAACACAACCCGCUAACGCAACAGGGCGCCUAUAACUGCAGUUACGUCGUCAAUGUUUGAAUUUUGAAUCCUGGAGAAGGGCGGGCAGACCAACACGCGCCUGACGGAUGCAUGUUGUCCAAGUGUCGGCACGCAACACGUUUUUUACUUGCCAUGAAAAUACCGAAAACACAAAGGCCUCAAGUUCUGAACCACGAUACUUCCCCGGUUCAGCAUCACAUUCAGUUAAAAUGGCCUUCUGAAGUUGCGCUCCCCUCGAAUCAUAUUCAGUAAAUCAUCACUAUCCAUCCAGAGCGCACUACAAAUGGUACAGCAAAUGUAAUUUCAGUUUUAGAUCAGCUCUCAAUAUAGAUAUGACAUCCCCCCCAAAUUACAUCUGAUUCAAACGAAUAUGUUCCCAAAUAUCAAAUAUUGCCCCAGAAAACAAAGUAUGGUAACAGACCUAAUUGUCUCUCGCCCUUACAAGAGCGAAACACUUAUUCUAAAAAACAUUGGAACUACAAAAUUGUUCUUGAAACGAUAAAUUCUUACAUGUGUUCAAAGACACACGCGACCAUUGUUGAAAACAUGGACAGUUUAUCUCAGACCAAAUUACAUUUUCUUCCCACAGCAUCACCCCUUUUUUUCUCCUUGCCUCAUCAAAGCAAUAUCAGGAAAAUGAGAUACAUGACUCACGGAAAAAAAGAAAUCAGAGUCAUUGAAUGGAGAUUGCACUGCUCAGCUCUCGGCAAACCCAAGAGGCCUCUUGCAUGUGUUCCGCCGGUGCCCCUCUAUUCCGCGGUUCUUGCACUUGCUUGGCUUCCGCGGCUUCUUCGGAGCAUCCCCUCGUUCUGGACAUGUCGUCCUCUUGUGCCCCUCGCGCCGGCAAAUGCUGCAGAACCUGGUUCUCUUACUCAGCCCUUCAUAUGGUGCCUUCUCCCUGCUGCUUGUCGGCCUACCAGCACCUCUACGCUUUUCCGGAGCUGCAAGGCAGUGAAGUUCAUUCAUGCCCACAGAAUUCACAGCACUGUUGCAUUGCUCAGCCUCCUGAACUGCAUUAUCAUUUUGGCCGUUACACGUUGCACUAACAUUUCCAUUGUCAUUUAGACGAUCCUCGAAUGCCAAUCCAUCACGCACGGCCGCCAGAGGUGCUCCACCCCGCAGCAGGGAGUCGAGUCCAGAAUUCAUGUAGUCAUAGCAUGCAGCACUUGCAUCCCCCAUCCGAACAGCUUCCAUGGCUUUAAAAUAUAAUGUUGAAUGCCUGUACGUGAAAGACAAAUUAUGCGAUUUGUCUUUCUGGUACUGAGCCAGGUGCUCCGGUAGUACAUCUCUAGCAUCUCUUGUCCACCUUUUCAAGAUAUGAUAUCUAGGGAUUUCAUCAAGAUGUAGAAUCUCCAUCACCUACAUUUUUCCACAAGCCACAAGUGCUGAUCAGACAUUGCCUUCUUGUGUUGGUUGCAACAAAUAAAAUGUCUACAUCAAUGAAGUUUCGCAGCUUACCCGCAAAGCAUGGCAGCAAAGCAUGCCUGUGUGCUCAAAUUGACCACAUUCGCACGUGAAUAUUGUUCUGUCUUCGUUAACUGUAACUUCAUACUCCACCCUGCUCCACUUCUCUCGUUUGGCUGCAUUAUUGUGAGUAGUUAUAUAUUUCCUCAUAUUUUCUUUUUCAGUAACAUUGUAUGCAGUUGCUUCUAUUAGUAAGCGUCCAAAUUCCUCAAACAUAUUCCUUGUAUAUAUUUUGCUUGCAUGCCGCUCUAUUGCAAGGUUUGUCCGCCGCACUGCGCACCCCUGUCACAAUAGAAGCAUUCGCAUGAACGAGAUUAGUUAUUUCUUAUAAAUCAUUAAAAACUUAAUUUCAUCAACCAAGAUGGUAGAAACUUAUUUACAAUCAUUGUUCUCUUCUCCUCGUAGCUUUCAUCAUGCUCACGGUCGAACUGAAGCCUCAUGUAUUGACGGACGAAAACGUGCAUCGGGCUGGCGGGGGGCAUGUAUGACUUCAGCAUGUGGUUUGCGCUCUCACUCCUCUGUGUACUUGUCAUCUUUGCGCAGAACACUCCUCUGAAAUAUGGUUUUGCCCAUUUAUGUCUUGUCUCAUAUAUUUGUGUCAUGUAGUUAUGACCCCUCAGAUUGUACUUAUCAAGCAGGCCGUCCCAUGCUGUUUCAAAUUCCUCUUCAGUUAUCAUGUGAUUAACAACUUUGUGAAAUUCAGACUGGAAAUCACUCUUCUUCGUGUAAAGCGGCCCAAGUGUUUCCUUCGCCUUCUUCAGAACAUGCCACUUACACCAUCGGUGCACAGUGUUUGGAUAAAUUUUCUUGAUUGCAACCUCCAUAGCUCUGCAUUGGUCUG
rnacentral:lncRNA from 1 species